AGCGGCGGACGGGUGAGUAACACGUGGGCAACCUGCCCUGGAGCGGGGGAUAACAUCUGGAAACAGGUGCUAAUACCGCAUAACAACGAAAACCACAUGGUUUUCGUUUCAAAGAUGGUUUCGGCUAUCACUUCAGGAUGGGCCCGCGGUGCAUUAGCUAGUUGGUAAGGUAACGGCUUACCAAGGCAAUGAUGCAUAGCCGAGUUGAGAGACUGAUCGGCCACAAUGGAACUGAGACACGGUCCAUACUCC
rnacentral:rRNA from 1 species